rnacentral:rRNA from 1 species
AACCUGCCCAAGAGAUCGGGAUAACACCUGGAAACAGAUGCUAAUACCGGAUAACAANAGAUGAUGCCUAUCAACUGUUUAAAAGAUGGUUCUGCUAUCACUCUUGGAUGGACCUGCGGUGCAUUAGCUAGUUGGUAGGGUAACGGCCUACCAAGGCGAUGAUGCAUAGCCGAGUUGAGAGACUGAUCGGCCACAUUGGGACUGAGACACGGCCCAAACUCCUACGGGAGGCAGCAGC